rnacentral:rRNA from 1 species
AUGGUGGGGCUGAGUUGGACAAGGGCUUGUGUCUUGGCCCUCUGCAUCAUGCUGUUCUUGCACCCGGCUGCGGCUAUCCGCUUUGUGAUUGAUAGGGAGGAGUGUUUCUCGCAUAACGUGGAAUAUGAGGGGGAUACUGUUCAUGUAUCCUUUGUGGUGAUCAAGGCUGACACUCCGUGGCAUUAUAGCGAGGAUGGGGUGGAUCUUGUGGUUAAAGAUCCUAAUGGAGCUCAAGUCCGUGACUCUCGUGACAAAAUUAGUGACAAAUUUGAGUUCAUAGUUCAGAAGAGAGGUGUCCAUCGCUUCUGCUUCACCAAUAAAUCCCCAUAUCACGAAACCAUAGACUUUGAUGUGCAUGUUGGACAUUAUUCAUAUUUUGACCAGCAUGCGAAAGAUGAACAUUUUUCACCGUUGUUCGAACAAAUUGCUAAGUUGGAUGAAGCACUUUACAACAUUCAGUUUGAGCAGCACUGGCUGGAGGCCCAAACCGACCGGCAAGCAAUAUUGAACGAGAAUAUGAGCAGGAGGGCCAUCCACAAGGCGCUUUUCGAGUCGGCUGUGCUCAUCGCAGCCAGCGUCAUUCAAGUCUACCUGUUGCGCCGACUCUUCGAGCGCAAGCUGGGGACAUCUAGGGUCUAA